GACGAACGCUGGCGGCGUGCCUAACACAUGCAAGUCAACUUGACUGAAGGAGCAAUCUGACAGUAGAGUGGCGCAAGGGUGCGUAACGCGUAAGUAACUUGCCCAAGGUAAGGAAUAACGUCGAGAAAUCGGCGCUAAUACCUCAUAAUGCAGCGGAUCCGCAUGGAUAUGUUGUUAAAGGUUUACCGCCUUGGGAUAGGCUUGCGUCUGAUUAGCUAGUUGGUGUGGUAACGGCACACCAAGGCUACGAUCAGUAACUGGUCUGAGAGGAUGAUCAGUCACACUGGAACUGAGACACGGUCCAGACUCCUACGGGAGGCAGCAGUGAGGAAUAUUGGGCAAUGCUCGAAAGAGUGACCCAGCAACGCCGCGUGGAGGAUGAAGGUAUUCUAUAUCGUAAACUCCUGUGAGAGCAGACGAAGACAGAUUAUUAAUCUGGAUGACUGUAUGCUCAGAGGAAG
rnacentral:rRNA from 1 species